UACAGAGGGUGCGAGCGUUGUCCGGAAUCACUGGGCGUAAAGGGCGCGUAGGUGGCUCGUUAAGCGUGUGGUGAAAGCCUGGGGCUCAACCCCAGGUCUGCCGUGCGAACUGGCGAGCUUGAGCAGAGUAGAGGCGAGUGGAAUUUCGGGUGUAGCGGUGGAAUGCGUAGAUAUCCGAAAGAACACCGGUGGCGAAGGCGGCUCGCUGGGGCUCUUGCUGACACUGAUGCGCGACAGCGUGGGGAGCAAACAGG
rnacentral:rRNA from 1 species